UUUAGCUCUACACUGGAAAUAAUAUUCGUUUUCAUACAAACCAAAAAUAUUUUCGUUAGUGUAUAUAGAAACACUGAAACUAAAACACGAUCUAUUCUACAAAGAAACCCAACAAGUGCUCA
rnacentral:sRNA from 1 species